GCAAGAUGCUUAUAAACAAUACGAUGUCCCGUUUAAUUGAUGGGUUUUCGUUUUUCACCAGUUAUAAAAUAAAAGUGAAUCUUUAAAUUUCA